rnacentral:rRNA from 1 species
GACGAACGCUGGCGGCGUGCCUAACACAUGCAAGUCGAGCGAUGAAAUCCCUUCGGGGAUGGAUUAGCGGCGGACGGGUGAGUAACACGUGGGUAACUUGCCUCAAAGUGGGGGAUAGCCUUCAGAAAGGAAGAUUAAUACGGCAUAAUAUUAGAUUUUCGCAUGAAGAGCUACUUACAGGAGCAACCGGCUUUGAGAUGGACCCGCGGCGCAUUAGCUAGUUGGUGAGGUAAUGGCUUACCAAGGCGACGAUGCGUAGCCGACCUGAGAGGGUGAGCGGCCACAUUGGAACUGAGACACGGUCCAGACUCCUACAGGAGGCAGCAGUGGGGAAUAUUGCACAAUGGGGGAAACCCUGAUGCAGCAACGCCGCGUGAGUGAUGAAGGUCUUCGGAUUGUAAAGCUCUGUCUGUUGGGACGAUAAUGACGGUACCAAAGUAGGAAGCCACGGCUAACUACGUGCCAGCAGCCGCCGUAAAAC